rnacentral:rRNA from 1 species
UACAGAGGGUGCAAGCGUUAAUCGGAAUUACUGGGCGUAAAGCGUGCGUAGUCGGUUAUUUAAGUCUGAUGUGAAAGCCCUGGGCUCAACCUGGGAAUUGCAUUGGAUACUGGCAGGCUAGAGUGCGGUAGAGGGUAGUGGAAUUCCCGGUGUAGCAGUGAAAUGCGUAGAGAUCGGGAGGAACACCAGUGGCGAAGGCGACUACCUGGACCAGCACUGACACUGAGGCACGAAAGCGUGGGGAGCAAACAGG